UACGGGGGGGGCAAGCGUUGUUCGGAAUUACUGGGCGUAAAGGGCUCGUAGGCGGCCAACUAAGUCACACGUGAAAUCCCUCGGCUCAACCGGGGAACUGCGUGUGAGACUGGAUGGCUUGAGUUCGGGAGAGGGAUGCGGAAUUCCAGGUGUAGCGGUGAAAUGCGUAGAUAUCUGGAGGAACACCGGUGGCGAAGGCGGCAUCCUGGACCGACAUUGACGCUGAUGAGCGAAAGCUAGGGGAGCAAACGGG
rnacentral:rRNA from 1 species